rfam:Trichuris suis scaffold80.1, whole genome shotgun sequence.
GGGCCAGUAGCUCAAAUGGUAGAGCGCUCGCUUAGCAUGCGAGAGGUACUGGGAUCGACACCCAGGUGGUCCA